rnacentral:lncRNA from 1 species
AAACACCAAAGAAUGUUUGGUGUUGCAGUUCCACUACACACUGCCGAAGCACCAAAGCGGAUUGUGAGAAGAUGUGUAUCUGGUAGUAUCUGGGGCCGUUGAAUUUUUCUGAAGAGAAUUUCUAUAAUUAUAUAUUUCAAUUAUUUUCAUACUUCUAUUAUUCAAAAUUUAGAUAAUAAAUAGAAAUUCCUAUUCCACAUGAGCAGGAGCAGCUAGUAUUAUGUACUAAAUGUUUUGGAAUUUCUUUGAAAGAUCAAUAUAUAUAGUUGUCUUUCUCACUUUCUUCAAUUGUAUUUAAAAAGUUUAUAAAUUUUAUACAAAAUGAGAAUAAAACCACUGUAGACUGUUUAACUGAAAUUUAAAUGUUGUAAGUACUUUGUAAAUUAAAUAAAAUAAAGAUAUAUCACUUUAAAAUAUAUUAUAAAUUAAUAUUAAAUGAAUUAAUUAACACAAAAAUUAACAAUUUUCACAUGUCUCGGACUUGACCGAUUCAAAAUAUAACACAAUUGUUUAAGAUAAUAAAAUAAUAUACUAUAAAAUAAUCCAUAGGAACGUGGGUCUUCUCAAAUAUGGUCUCACUAAAAUUUUAUAAUAAAAACUAAUAUAUAAAUUUUGUAUAAAUAUAAACAAAAUAUUGUUUUGUUUCCCCCAUGAACUCAAUCACUAAUAAUUCUUUACCAUAGACACCAUUUUGAUAUUGUUUUAUCAUUUUACUUCUAAAACACAUUUGCAUUAUAAAAUCCAUAUCUUUAUAUCAUCAAAUUAUUUAACAAGAAAAAGUUGAAAGCCAAAGUUAGAUUAAUUAAUAUAUAAGCCAAGAAAAAAUGAACUUUUUAUUUGACAUAAAAUAAUUUAUUUAAUAUAUGAAUGAUAAAAACGAAUUUUUGCUAAACAAAUAAUAUAUUAUAUUUACACCAUUACUAAUUACAUAUUUUUUACUGUACAAUAACUGAAAAUACAUAAGUUGGUGUUUAUGCAUCUUACAGGAAACAAUAUAUUAUUGAUAUGAACAUGGUUAUUGAUGAGAAAGGUUUUUCAUUGAAUUUAAAGAUGAGUUUUCAAUAAUGUUUACGAUAUUACAGACAUUGUGAUCAUGUUUAAUCUUCACAAAUGGUGGUUUAUAGCACUAUUUUUAUUAAGUAUUUCUCACAUAAAAUAUGUCAUUUUGAAAACCAAUAAAUAAUAUAAUGGCUACCUAGACGUUAGUUUAUAUUACAUACAUAAUUUUUAUUAUAUUGUAUUUUCUCUCAUGAUAGUCCUUACAAUAUUUUGAUUAUUUUAUAUAUUUCUUACGGAAAUCUAUGUUUGGCAAAUAAUAAAAACUUAUUUUUCUUUAUUUAUAUCUAUAUAAAAAUACUUUUUGGUAAAUUAGAACUUAUAUGUAAAUUAGUACCUACAAUAAUAUUUCACUUCAAUCAACAUAUGCCCGACUUUCAUAAUAUAUAUAUAGAUAAAUCCAUUAAGAAUCGAAGACUAUAAACUGUGAAGGUUUACAAUGUCGGCGUCGAAAUUUGCUAUAUUUUGUAUUGUUCUCAUUUGUCUUGCUAGUCUUCAUGAAUGUAUGUGAUAUAUAGCUUACUUCCAUCCAAUCCUCUAGCAUCAUUACCAUUAAAUUAAUAUUAAUAAACUCCAUCAUCUUUUAAUUUGUUUUAUUCUUUGAACUUUAUGCAGGUGCCAAUCUGGAAAAAAAGCCCAAAGGAACAUGCUCUAAAACACCAAAGAAUGUUUGGUGUUGCAGUUCCACUACACAUUGCCGAAGCACCAAAGCGGACUGUGAGAAGAUGUGUAUCUGGUAGUAUCUGGGACCGUUGAAUUUUUCUGAAGAGAAUUUCUAUAAUUAUAUAUUUCAAUUAUUUUCAUACUUCUAUUAUUCAAAAUUUAGAUAAUAAAUAGAAAUUUCUAUUCCACAUGAGCAGGAGCAGCUAGUAUUAUGUACUAAAUGUUUUAGAAUUUCUUUGAAAGAUCAAUAUAUAUAGUUGUCUUUCUCAUUUUCUUCAAAUUUAUUUAAGAAGUUUAUAAAUUUUAUACAAAAUGAGAAUAAAACAACAGUAGACUGUUUAACUGAAAUUUAAAUGUUGUAAGUACUUUGUAAAUUAAAUAAAAUAAAAAUAUAUUACUUCAAAAUAUAUUAUAAAUUACAUAAAUUAAUAUUAAAUGAAUUAAUUAACACAAAAAUUAACAAUUUUCACUUGUCUCGGACUUGACCGAUUCAAAAUAUAACACAAUUGUUUAACAUAAUAAAAUAAUAUACUGUAAAAUAAUCCAUAAGGACGUGGGUCUUCUCAAAUAGGGUCCCACUAAAAGAUUAUAAUAAACAUUAGUAUAUAAAUUUUGUAUAAAUAUAAAGAAAAAAUUGUUUUGUUUCCACCAUGAACUCAAUCGCUAAUUAUUCUUAACCAUUCACAACAUUUUGAUAUUGUUUUAUCAUUUUACUUCUAGAAUACAUUUGCAUUAUAUAAUCCAUAUCUUAUAUUCAUCAAAUUAUUUAACAAGAAAAAGUUGAAAGCCACAGUUAGAUUAAAUAAUAUAUAAGCCAAGAAAAAAAUGAUUUUUUUAUUUGACCUAAAAUAAUUUAUUUAAUAUAUGAAUGAUAAAACUGAUAUUUCCUAAACAAAUAAUAUAUCAUAUUUACACUAUUUCUAAUUACAUAUUUUUUUAUUGUAAAAUAACUGAAAAUACAUAACUUGGUGUUUAUGCAUCUUACAGGAAACAAUAUAUUAUUGAUAUGAACAAGGUCAUUGAUGAGAAAUUUUUUUCGUUGAAUUUAAAGAUGAGGCUUAAAUAAUGCUUAUGAUAUUACUGACAUUGUGAUCAUGUUUUAUCUUGGCAAAUUGUGGUUUAUAGCACUAUUAUUAUUAAGUAUUUCUCGCAUAAAAUAUGUCAUUUUGAAAACCAAUAAAUAAUAUAAUGGCUACGUAGGCGUUAGUUCAUAUUAGAUACAUAAUUUUUAUUAUAUUGUAUUUUCUCUUAUGACAGUCCUUACAAUAUUUUGAUUAUUAUAUAUAUUUCUUGCGGAAACGUAUGUUUGGCAAAUAAUUUGUUUAUUUAUUUCUAUAUAAAAAUACUUUUUGGUAAAUUAGAACUGUUAUGUAAAUUAGUACCUAGAAUAAUAAUUCACUUCGAACAACAUAUGCCAGACUCUCAUAAAAUAUGUAUAGAUAAAUCCAUUAAGAAUCGAAGACUAUAUUUUUUCAUCUAAAAUAAGGUAGUAAAAAAAUAUAUAGUAGCUAACUCUUUGAUAAUUUAAUUUGGCCACAUAUUUAAUCUUUCAAAGUUACUCAUAUAUAUAUGGCUGUCAUUAUUGGGUACUUUUAGGUGGUGAUAUAUCCUAUCAAAAAAUUAAAUGAAAAUUUUGGAACUUUUUAACAUAAAUAUAUUAGAAUAUAAGGAGAAUAAAAGUUACCAAUAAUUAUACUUUCAUAUUCUUCGGAUUAUCAUGCAACAAUUUUUCAGGGACAUAUAUACAUGUUCACAUUUAAGGAUAUUGAUGAGAAAUUAGUAAAUGCUAAAAUUGGUAGCUAGCUAGUUGAUUUUAUCCACAUAUUUAACCAUUCAAAGCUACACUAUAUAUAUAUAUAUGGUUGUCGUUAAUCGGUAUUUUUAGGUGCUGACUUACUGUAUCAAAAACGAAAAUGAAUGUUUAGAAUAAAAUUUAACAUAAAUAUUUUAGGAUAUGAAGUAAAAAAUAACCAAUCAAUUUAAAACAGUUUUUCUGGAUAAUUUUAAAAAUAGUCUUCAAAGACCUAUAUAUAUUUAUAUGUUCAUACUUAAGGUUCCCUUCAAUAAACACACAAAACAUUUUCUUACUGUGAAGGUUUACAAUGUCGGCGUCGAAAUUUGCUAUAUUAUGUAUUGUUCUCAUUUGUCUUGCUAGUCUUCAUGAAUGUAUGUGAUAUAUAGCUUACUUCCAUCCAAUCCUCUAGCAUCAUUACCAUUAAAUUAAUAUUAAUAAACUCCAUCAUCUUUUAAUUUGUUUUAUUCUUUAAACUUUAUGCAGGUGCCAAUCUGGAAAAAAAGCCCAAAGGAACAUGCUCCAAAACACCAAAGAAUGUUUGGUGCUGCAGUUCCACUACACACUGCCGAAGCACCAAAGCGGAUUGUGAGAAGAUUUGUAUCUGGUAGUAUACGAGGCCGUUGAAUUUUUCUGCAGAAAAUUUCUAUAAUUAUAUAUUCCAAUUAUUUUCAUACUUCUAUUAUUCAAAAUUUAGAUAAUAAAUAGAAAUUCCUAUUCCACAGGAGCAGCUAGUAUUAUGUACUAAAUGUUUUGGAAUUUCUUUGAAAGAUCAAUAUAUAUAGUUGUCUUUCUCACUUUCUUCAAUUGUAUUUAAAAAGUUUAUAAAUUUUAUACAAAAUGAGAAUAAAACCACUGUAGACUGUUUAACUGAAAUUUAAAUGUUGUAAGUACUUUGUAAAUUAAAUAAAAUAAAGAUAUAUCACUUUAAAAUAUAUUAUAAAUUAAUAUUAAAUGAAUUAAUUAACACAAAAAUUAAUAAUUUUCACAUGUCUCGGACUUGACCGAUUCAAAAUAUAACACACUUUUUAAGAUAAUAAAAUAAUAUACUGUAAAAUAAUCCAUAAGGAUGUGGGUCUUCUCAAAUAUGGUCCCACUAAAAUUUUAUAAUAAACAUUAAUAUAUAAAUUUUGUAUAAAUAUAAACAAAAAAUUGUUUUGUUUCCACCAUGAACUCAAUCGCUAAUUAUUCUUAACCAUUCACAACAUUUUGAUAUUGUUUUAUCAUUUUACUUCUAGAAUACAUUUGCAUUAUAUAAUCCAUAUCUUAUAUUCAUCAAAUUAUUUAACGAGAACAAGUUGAAAGCCAAAGUUUAGAUUAAAUAAUAUAUAAGCCAAGAAACAAAAUGAUUUUUUUAUUUGACCUAAAAUAAUUUAUUUAAUAUAUGAAUGAUAAAACUGAUUUUUGCUAAACAAAUAAUAUAUCAUAUUUACACCAUUUCUAAUUACAUAUUUUUUAUUGUACAAUAACUGAAAAUACAUAACUGGGUGUUUAUGCAUCUUACAGGAAACAAUAUAUUAUUGAUAUGAACAAGGUCAUUGAUGAGAAAUUUUUUUCGUUGAGUUUAAAGAUGAGGCUUAAAUAAUGCUUAUGAUAUUACUGACAUUGUGAUCAUGUUUUAUCUUGGCAAAUUGUGGUUUAUAGCACUAUUAUUAUUAAGUAUUUCUCGCAUAAAAUAUGUCAUUUUGAAAACCAAUAAAUAAUAUAAUGGCUACGUAGGCGUUAGUUCAUAUUAGAUACAUAAUUUUUAUUAUAUUGUAUUUUCUCUUAUGACAGUCCUUACAAUAUUUUGAUUAUUAUAUAUAUUUCUUGCGGAAAUCUAUGUUUGGCAAAUAAUUUGUUUAUUUAUUUCUAUAUAAAAAUACUUUUUGGUAAAUUAGAACUGUUAUGUAAAUUAGUACCUAGAAUAAUAAUUCACUUCGAACAACAUAUGCCAGACUUUCAUAAAAUAUGUAUAGAUAAAUCCAUUAAGAAUCGAAGACUAUAUUUUUUCAUCUAAAAUAAGUUAGUAAAAAAAUAUAUAGUAGCUAACUCUUUGAUAAUUUAAUUUGGCCACAUAUUUAAUCUUUCAAAGUUACUCAUAUAUAUAUGGCCGUCAUUAUUGGGUACUUUUAGGUGGUGAUAUAUCCUAUCAAAAAAUUAAAUGAAAAUUUUGGAACUUUUUAACAUAAAUAGAUUAGAAUAUAAGGAGAAUAAAAGUUACCAAUAAUUAUACUUUCAUAUUCUUCGGAUUAUCAUGCGACAAUUUUUCAGGGACAUAUAUACAUGUUCACAUUUAAGGAUAUUGAUGAGAAAUUAGUAAAUGCUAAAAUUGGUAGCUAGCUAGUUGAUUUUAUCCACAUAUUUAACCAUUCAAAGCUACACUAUAUAUAUAUAUAUAUAUAUAUAUGGUUGUCGUUAAUCGGUAUUUUUAGGUGCUGACUUACUGUAUCAAAAACGAAAAUGAAUGUUUUGAAUAAAAUUUAACAUAAAUAUUUUAGGAUAUGAAGUAAAAAAUAACCAAUCAAUUUAAACGGUUUUUCUGGAUAAUUUUAAAAAUAGUCUUCAAAGACCUAUAUAUAUUUAUAUGUUCAUACUUAAGGUUCCCUUCAAUAAAAACACAAAACAUUUUCUUACUGUGAAGGUUUACAAUGUCGGCGUCGAAAUUUGCUAUAUUAUGUAUUGUUCUCAUUUGUCUUGCUAGUCUUCAUGAAUGUAUGUGAUAUAUAGCUUACUUCCAUCCAAUCAUCUAGCAUCAUUACCAUUAAAUUAAUAUUAAUAAACUCCAUCAUCUUUUAAUUUGUUUUAUUCUUUAAACUUUAUGCAGGUGCCAAUCUGGAAAAAAAGCCCAAAGGAACAUGCUCUAAAACACCAAAGAAUGUUUGGUGUUGCAGUUCCACUACACACUGCCGAAGCACCAAAGCGGAUUGUGAGAAAAUUUGUAUCUGGUAGUAUCUGGGGCCGUUGAAUUUUUCUGAAGAGAAUUUCUAUAAUUAUAUAUUUCAAUUAUUUUCAUACUUCUAUUAUUCAAAAUUUAGAUAAUAAAUAGAAAUUCCUAUUCCACAUGAGCAGGAGCAGCUAGUAUUAUGUACUUAAUGUUUUGGAAUUUCUUUGAAAGAUCAAUAUAUAUAGUUGUCUUUCUCACUUUCUUCAAUUGUAUUUAAGAAGUUUAUAAAUUUUAUACAAAAUGAGAAUAAAACCACAGUAGACUGUUUAACUGAAAUUUAAAUGUUGUAAGUACUUUGUAAAUUAAAUAAAAUAAAAAUAUAUCACUUCAAAAUAUAUUAUAAAUUAUAUAAAUAAAUACUUAAUUAAUUAAUUAACACAAAAAUUUACAAUUUUCACAUGUCUCGGACUUGACCGAUUCAAAAUAUAACACAAUUGUUUAAGAUAAUAAAAUAAUAUACUGUAAAAUAAUCCAUAACGACGUGGGUCUUCUCAAAUAUGGUCCCACUAAAAUUUUAUAAUAAACAUUAAUAUAUAAAUUUCAUAUAAAUAUAAACAAAACAUUGUUUUGUUUCCACCAUGAACUCAAUCACUAAUUAUUCUUAACCAUUCACAACAUUUUGAUAUUGUUUUAUCAUUUUACUUCUAGAAUACAUUUGCAUUAUAUAAUCCAUAUCUUAUAUUCAUCAAAUUAUUUAACGAGAACAAGUUGAAAGCCAAAGUUUAGAUUAAAUACUAUAUAAGCCAAGAAACAAAAUGAUUUUUUUAUUUGACCUAAAAUAAUUUAUUUAAUAUAUGAAUGAUAAAACUGAUUUUUGCUAAACAAAUAAUAUAUCAUAUUUACACCAUUUCUAAUUACAUAUUUUUUAUUGUACAAUAACUGAAAAUACAUAACUUGGUGUUUAUGCAUCUUACAGGAAACAAUAUAUUAUUGAUAUGAACAAGGUCAUUGAUGAGAAAUUUUUUUCGUUGAAUUUAAAGAUGAGGCUUAAAUAAUGCUUAUGAUAUUACUGACAUUGUGAUCAUGUUUUAUCUUGGCAAAUUGUGGUUUAUAGCACUAUUAUUAUUAAGUAUUUCUCGCAUAAAAUAUGUCAUUUUGAAAACCAAUAAAUAAUAUAAUGGCUAUGUAGGCGUUAGUUCAUAUUAGAUACAUAAUUUUUAUUAUAUUGUAUUUUCUCUUAUGACAGUCCUUACAAUAUUUUGAUUAUUAUAUAUAUUUCUUGCGGAAAUCUAUGUUUGGCAAAUAAUUUGUUUAUUUAUUUCUAUAUAAAAAUACUUUUUGGUAAAUUAGAACUGUUAUGUAAAUUAGUACCUAGAAUAAUAAUUCACUUCGAACAACAUAUGCCAGACUUUCAUAAAAUAUGUAUAGAUAAAUCCAUUAAGAAUCGAAGACUAUAUUUUUUCAUCUAAAAUAAGUUAGUAAAAAAAUAUAUAGUAGCUAACUCUUUGAUAAUUUAAUUUGGCCACAUAUUUAAUCUUUCAAAGUUACUCAUAUAUAUAUGGCCGUCAUUAUUGGGUACUUUUAGGUGGUGAUAUAUCCUAUCAAAAAAUUAAAUGAAAAUUUUGGAACUUUUUAACAUAAAUAGAUUAGAAUAUAAGGAGAAUAAAAGUUACCAAUAAUUAUACUUUCAUAUUCUUCGGAUUAUCAUGCGACAAUUUUUCAGGGACAUAUAUACAUGUUCACAUUUAAGGAUAUUGAUGAGAAAUUAGUAAAUGCUAAAAUUGGUAGCUAGCUAGUUGAUUUUAUCCACAUAUUUAACCAUUCAAAGCUACACUAUAUAUAUAUAUAUAUAUAUAUAUGGUUGUCGUUAAUCGGUAUUUUUAGGUGCUGACUUACUGUAUCAAAAACGAAAAUGAAUGUUUUGAAUAAAAUUUAACAUAAAUAUUUUAGGAUAUGAAGUAAAAAAUAACCAAUCAAUUUAAACGGUUUUUCUGGAUAAUUUUAAAAAUAGUCUUCAAAGACCUAUAUAUAUUUAUAUGUUCAUACUUAAGGUUCCCUUCAAUAAAAACACAAAACAUUUUCUUACUGUGAAGGUUUACAAUGUCGGCGUCGAAAUUUGCUAUAUUAUGUAUUGUUCUCAUUUGUCUUGCUAGUCUUCAUGAAUGUAUGUGAUAUAUAGCUUACUUCCAUCCAAUCAUCUAGCAUCAUUACCAUUAAAUUAAUAUUAAUAAACUCCAUCAUCUUUUAAUUUGUUUUAUUCUUUAAACUUUAUGCAGGUGCCAAUCUGGAAAAAAAGCCCAAAGGAACAUGCUCUAAAACACCAAAGAAUGUUUGGUGUUGCAGUUCCACUACACACUGCCGAAGCACCAAAGCGGAUUGUGAGAAAAUUUGUAUCUGGUAGUAUCUGGGGCCGUUGAAUUUUUCUGAAGAGAAUUUCUAUAAUUAUAUAUUUCAAUUAUUUUCAUACUUCUAUUAUUCAAAAUUUAGAUAAUAAAUAGAAAUUCCUAUUCCACAUGAGCAGGAGCAGCUAGUAUUAUGUACUAAAUGUUUUGGAAUUUC